rnacentral:rRNA from 1 species
GAGCGCAACCCUUGUCUCGUGUUGCCAGCACGUUGUGGUGGGGACUCGCGGGAGACUGCCGGGGUCAACUCGGAGGAAGGUGGGGAUGACGUCAAAUCAUCAUGCCCCUUAUGUCUUGGGCUUCACGCAUGCUACAAUGGCCGGUACAGAGGGCUGCGAUACCGUGAGGUGGAGCGAAUCCCUUAAAGCCGGUCUCAGUUCGGAUCGGUGUCUGCAACUCGACACCGUGAAGUUGGAGUCGCUAGUAAUCGCAGAUCAGCAACGCUGCGGUGAAUACGUUCUCGGGUCGACGCGGCCG